AGUUUAAUAGUCUAUGCCAACUCUUUUAUUUUUGGGGCAAUUGCUUAUACGCUCCUGAAAAGUUUCCGACUUUUCUAUUUAUUUCUCUUAAAAGACUAAUAUUGAAAAUAUCCUUUCUACGUUCCAAUAUAUUUCUAAUAUACCCUGGAGUUAAAAUCUGUUAAUUAACUCUGUUAUCUCUGUAAAAUUAUUAUUUUGCCCUUUCAAAUAUACCCUUCCACCAUCACUGACUUUCUUAUUUGUCCUUAAAGUCAGGGGCACAAAAAGUAUUUUGACUUUUGAUCUUUUCCAAUAUACCCCUCUACCGUCACCAACAUUUCUUAUUUGCCCUUAAGUUAAGGGCAAAAUUGGCAUUUUAAUUUUUUUUAACUGUGUUAGAUAUUUAACUCACGUUUAACCCAAGUUAACUUAACAAGAGAUAACUGUGCGGGUAUUUUGCAAUAAUGAUGGAACAUAUGAGAAAUAUUUUAGAAAGAAAAAAAAGUAGGGGUAAAUGGGAUCUUUUCAAACGUACGAGAAGUAUAUAGACAAUUAUCCUUUUAUUUUUUAACUUAAUAUAUCUAAAACAAUUGUUUAUAUAAUUUUUUAAUAUCAACAUUUUCACCUCUCUCUCUCUCUCUCUCUCU
rnacentral:lncRNA from 1 species